rnacentral:lncRNA from 1 species
AUGGUUGUAAGAAUGAAAUACCUAAGGUUUCGUAAAGCCUGGCACCAGGUGAAACAAAAACCACACACUAACCAGAACGCAGUCUGGAGUUCCUUCUUUUUAAGCCAUCCACCGCAUGAGAUUGAACUUCACCUGAGACCAAGAUUUCGAUACUGUCCCUCAGGAAAGCACUCCUGUGUUCUCCUAGAUUGGCACAGAGUGGUAUGUCCUAUUGUCUCUUUUGAGUAUGCUGUGGAUCAGGUGGGUACAUUCUGGCUCUUCAAGACUCCAUACAGCGUGAGGUGUGUCCUGGUUGUUAUUAUCGAGGGCAGCACUGCGUUGAUUUGUAGCUACAGAGGAGCUGAUACUUUUACUGAGCGGGGUGCCCAGGGUCGUGGAGCUGCUUGGGGAUUCUUCAGGAAAUUCAAAUACGCAAGAGACGGCGGACUUGGCAGAGCCACCGGCUCUCUUCCACCGAUAUCUUCUCAACUUCCAAUGACUUGUGAGAAAUUAACCCUGUGUGGAGAGAUUCAAGUUGAAAAAUAGACUCAUCUCAUCCACUAGUUCUAAAGAAGGAAAUGGCAACCCACU